rnacentral:rRNA from 1 species
GGGGACCGCCGGACAGUUCGCGAGGUCUUGGCCCUCUCUAAAGCCAAUUCCCCGGGACUUGUCUUUCUCUCUGAGACAAGACAUGCCUCAACAAAGAUGGAGAAGCUUAAAUGGAGAUUGCAAAUGAAGGGUUUUGUGGGUGUUUCAAGCGAUGGGCUUAGUGGAGGACUUGCGCUCUUCUGGGAUGAAAGGCUGCAAGUUACGGUA